CCCAGCAGCUCAUCCAAUUUAGGUCUGAAAACAAACCAAAGUUUCUAAAAUCAAAAUAUGCUGCAAAGCAACUAUGGGAGACACUGAUGAAAGAAAUUGGGUUGGAGGGAAAAGUGACUGGCCAACAGGCAUCAAAGAAGUGGGAAAAUCUUAAGCAAAGAUACAAGGAACUAAGAACUCCCAGAACAGGGUCAGGUACGGACAGGGGGGAAGUGACCGCUGCAACCUGGCAAUUUUA